AGUGAACGCUGGCGGUAGGCCUAACACAUGCAAGUCGAACGGCAGCACAGUAAGAGCUUGCUCUUACGGGUGGCGAGUGGCGGACGGGUGCGGAAUACAUCGGAAUCUACUUUUUCGUGGGGGAUAACGUAGGGAAACUUACGCUAAUACCGCAUACGACCUACGGGUGAAAGCAGGGGAUCUUCGGACCUUGCGCGAUUGAAUGAGCCGAUGUCGGAUUAGCUAGUUGGCGGGGUAAAGGCCCACCAAGGCGACGCUCGGUAGCUGGUCUGAGAGGAUGAUCAGCCACACUGGAACUGAGACACGGUCCAGACUCCUACGGGAGGCAGCAGUGGGGAAUAUUGGACAAUGGGCGCAAGCCUGAUCCAGCCAUACCGCGUGGGUGAAGAAGGCCUUCGGCUGGUAAAGCCCUUUUGUUGGGAAAGAAAAGCAGCAGGUUAAUACCCCGCUGUUCUGACGGUACCCAAAGAAUAAGCACCGGCUAACUUCGUG
rnacentral:rRNA from 1 species